rnacentral:rRNA from 1 species
UACGUAGGGGGCAAGCGUUGUCCGGAAUCAUUGGGCGUAAAGCGCGUGUAGGCGGCCAGGUAGGUGGGUUGUGAAAACUGGAGGCUCAACCUUCAGAGGUCGACCCAAACCCCCUGGCUAGAGUCCGGAAGAGGAGAGUGGAAUUCCAGGUGUAGCGGUGAAAUGCGUAGAUAUCUGGAGGAACACCGGUGGCGAAGGCGGCAUCCUGGGCCGAUACUGACGCUGAGGAGCGAAAGCCAGGGGAGCAAACGGG